UUUUCUAGUACCUUUAAUACAUCACACUUGAGCUAUUGUUGAACCCCUUCACAGUUCAUCAGUGCAGCACAGCUCCCUGCUGAAUUGGGAUGAGCUGGCUGAGUCAGCUGACAGAAGGAAGAGAGGAAUCGAGUUUGACAGCAGCACAGACUUACUUUGGCUUAAGGUGGAAGAAAGUGUUCGCUCUUUCCAAGUGACCUAAAAGCAUCUGGAAAAGUGAAGAUAGAGGAUUGGGGUCACAAAAACUCCGUGUGGGUUUAGCAUCCUUGAAAAC
rnacentral:lncRNA from 1 species